rnacentral:rRNA from 1 species
GACGAACGCUGGCGGCGUGCCUAAUACAUGCAAGUAGAACGCUGAAGGAGGAGCUUGCUCUUCUGGAUGAGUUGCGAACGGGUGAGUAACGCGUAGGUAACCUGCCUGGUAGCGGGGGAUAACUAUUGGAAACGAUAGCUAAUACCGCAUAAGAGUAGAUGUUGCAUGACAUUUGCUUAAAAGGUGCAAUUGCACCACUACCAGAUGGACCUGCGUUGUAUUAGCUAGUUGGUGGGGUAACGGCUCACCAAGGCGACGAUACAUAGCCGACCUGAGAGGGUGAUCGGCCACACUGGGACUGAGACACGGCCCAGACUCCUACGGGAGGCAGCAGUAGGGAAUCUUCGGCAAUGGACGGAAGUCUGACCGAGCAACGCCGCGUGAGUGAAGAAGGUUUUCGGAUCGUAAAGCUCUGUUGUAAGAGAAGAACGAGUGUGAGAGUGGAAAGUUCACACUGUGACGGUAUCUUACCAG